rnacentral:rRNA from 1 species
AUUGAACGCUGGCGGCAUGCCUUACACAUGCAAGUCGAACGGCAGCAUGGAGAGCUUGCUCUCUGAUGGCGAGUGGCGAACGGGUGAGUAAUGCAUCGGAACGUACCGUGUAAUGGGGGAUAACGUAGCGAAAGUUACGCUAAUACCGCAUACGACCUGAGGGUGAAAGCAGGGGAUCGCAAGACCUUGCGUUAUACGAGCGGCCGAUGUCAGAUUAGCUAGUUGGUGAGGUAAAGGCUCACCAAGGCGACGAUCUGUAGCGGGUCUGAGAGGAUGAUCGGCCACACUGGGACUGAGACACGGCCCGGACUCCUACGGGAGGCAGCAGUGGGGAAUUUUGGACAAUGGGGGCAACCCUGAUCCAGCCAUGCCGCGUGAGUGAAGAAGGCCUUCGGGUUGUAAAGCUCUUUCGGCCGGGAAGAAAUCGCACAGGCUAAUACUCUGUGUGGAUGACGGUACCGGCAUAAGAAGCACCGGCUAACUACGUGCCAGCAGCCGCCGUAA